GUGAAGAUUUGGGCAGGCCAUACGGACGCCAAAAAAGUGUCCCUGGCCGCCUACACCCACUAUACAUCCACAAACCCGUGUGCACUGUCUUGGAGAAAGGCUUCUUGAGAAGUUAUGUGACCUCUCUUGGGGUCUUUCUUCGCUACAAACUCGAAUGGUUAGUAUGAACGUGGAACUUGGUUGGACCGUCACUGGCCAACAAACUAUACA
rnacentral:misc_RNA from 1 species